rnacentral:tRNA from 1 species
GGGGUUGUGGCUCAGUGGUAGAGAACUUGCCUUGCAUGCAUGAGGCCCUGGGUUCAGUCCCCAGCACCA